CCUUAGUCUCCUUGAACUCUCAGCUGUGUCUCCCUGACUCGAGGAGUUUGAUGGUUUCCCCUGGAUUUCCCCGCUGUGUGCCAUGGUCUGGAAGUUGUCUCAAGGUGGGGCCAAAUCUCAGACUAUUCAUCAAUGGCCAGCCACCCUGGUGCAGCCUGUGGGCAGCCCCCUCUCUCUGGAGUGCACUGUGAAGGGGACAUCAAACCCCUACCUAUACUGGUACCGACAGUCUGCAGACAGGGGCCUCCAGCUGCUCUUCUACUCAGUGAGUACUGGCCAGGUCGACUCUGAGGUGACCCAGAAUCUCUCAGCCUCCAGGCCCCAGGACGGGCAGUUCAUCCUGAGUUCUAAGAAGCUCCUCCCCAGUGAUUCUGGCUUCUAUCUCUGUGCCUGGAGUGUCACACUGAGCUGGCCCUUCCUCGGUAGCAAAGAGGGAACAGAGGGACAGAUGGUGAUCCAAGAAAUACGCAAGACUGAGGACAAAGAAGAGGACAGUGAGAGCUUCCAGGAUUUUGAUCUGAUUUUGCAGAUGUGCCAGGAUGACUAUUUCCAUACAUCUCAUUUCCUGGCCACUUGCACAUGGAAGAUUCAGGGACACAUGCUGGUGGCCAGAGGCACUGUCUCCAAGAUGCUUCACACAGACCUCAGCCACCCAUAG